CCUACGGGAGGCAGCAGUGGGGAAUAUUGGACAAUGGGCGAAAGCCUGAUCCAGCAAUGCCGCGUGAGUGAUGAAGGCCUUAGGGUUGUAAAGCUCUUUUACCAGGGAUGAUAAUGACAGUACCUGGAGAAUAAGCUCCGGCUAACUCCGUGCCAGCAGCCGCGGUAAUACGGAGGGAGCUAGCGUUGUUCGGAAUUACUGGGCGUAAAGCGUACGUAGGCGGUUAUUCAAGUCAGAGGUGAAAGCCUGGAGCUCAACUCCAGAACUGCCUUUGAAACUAGAUAGCUAGAAUCUUGGAGAGGUGAGUGGAAUUCCGAGUGUAGAGGUGAAAUUCGUAGAUAUUCGGAAGAACACCAGUGGCGAAGGCGACUCACUGGACAAGUAUUGACGCUGAGGUACGAAAGCGUGGGGAGCAAACAGGAUUAGAUACCCUGGUAGUCCACGCCGUAAACGAUGAUAACUAGCUGUUCGGGCUCUACGAGCUUGAGUGGCGCAGCUACGACAUUAAGUUAUCCGCCGUCGGGAGGUACGGUCGCGAAGAAUUAAACUAACAAAGAAAGUUAGACGGCGUGAGACGUGCCGAACGGACGACGACGAGGGAGGUAGG
rnacentral:rRNA from 1 species